rnacentral:lncRNA from 1 species
GGUUCUUGAAAACAAGAUGAUGGCAUAGGCUUAGAAACCAUGGAUUCCUAACAGCAUAAACAGAAGUUCUCAUCCACAGUCAAUACAAAUGGUCUGAGACCGGCCAACAAGUAGAGCUUCAAAUUAGAAACAACUAGGUUCUUCAAGAUCCCCUUAAGGAUCUAAGGAGUCGAAGAGCCAUGGCGUGUAAGAGGCCAAGACUGGACGAAAAAGACAAGAAAACAUCACAACGUUGAGAUAUACGCCGUUGACGGCGCUUGAAAAAUUAGGGUUUAAUGGAGAUAGUUGAGAGAGAAAGGAUAUGAGGAUGACAU